rnacentral:ncRNA from 1 species
CAUGUGAUUCAAUUUGAUAAUUUGAUGCAAAGUGAAGAACCUUUUACUGGGUAUUGGCAUGAUGUGAAUCCUCGUGAAAGAGAGGAAUUCUUUUGAGAAUGUGGACACAUGUGGUGCAUGGUUGUCAUCCACUUGUAUUGUAAGGUGUUGGGUUAAGUCUUGUAAUGAACACAACCCUCGUGUUUAGUUGCCAACAUUGAAUUUGGAACCCUAAACAAAUGGUUGGUGAUAAGCUGGAGUUGUUGAUGAUAAGUUGGUGGUAGGAAACGAUGACAUCGUGUGAUUGUGUAUGCCCUAGGGAACACACGUG